GACGAACGCUGGCGGCGUGCCUAAUACAUGCAAGUCGAGCGGACCUCUUCGGAGGUCAGCGGCGGACGGGUGAGUAACACGUGGGCAACCUGCCUGUAAGACUGGGAUAACUCCGGGAAACCGGAGCUAAUACCGGAUACUAUGUCAAACCGCAUGGUUUGACAUUCAAAGACGGUUUCGGCUGUCACUUACAGAUGGGCCCGCGGCGCAUUAGCUAGUUGGUGAGGUAACGGCUCACCAAGGCGACGAUGCGUAGCCGACCUGAGAGGGUGAUCGGCACCACUGGGACUGAGACACGGCCCAGACUCCUACGGGAGGCAGCAGUAGGGAAUCUUCCGCAAUGGACGAAAGUCUGACGGAGCAACGCCGCGUGAGUGAUGAAGGUUUUCGGAUCGUAAAACUCUGUUGUCAGGGAAGAACAAGUGCCGGAGUAACUGCCGGCGCCUUGACGGUACCUGACCAGAAAGCCACGGCUAACUACGUGCCAGCAGCCGCCGUAA
rnacentral:rRNA from 1 species